GGGCGGUUAACUCAGCGGUAGAGUGCCUGCCUUACAAGCAGGUUGCCACUGGUUCGAAUCCAGUACUGCCCA
rnacentral:tRNA from 24 species